UUUAUCAAGAGUGGUGGAGGGAACUGGCCCAGUGAAGCCCGGCAACAGCCUUUUAGGUAAUGUGCUAAAUCCAGCAGACGAUGUCUGGCAGAUAAG
rnacentral:ncRNA from 1 species